rnacentral:misc_RNA from 1 species
GGAAUGCGAUAAGUAAUGUGAAUUGCAGAAUUCAGUGAAUCAUCGAAUCUUUGAACGCACCUUGCGCUCCUUGGUAUUCCUUGGAGCAUGCCUGUUUGAGUAUCAUGAAAUCUUCAAAGUAAAUCUUUUGUUAACUCAAUUGGUUUCUACUUUGGUAUUGGAGGUCUUUGCAGCUUCACACCUGCUCCUCUUUGUUCAUUAGCUGGAUCUCAGUGUUAUGCUUGGUUCCACUCGGCGUGAUAAGUUAUCUAUCGCUGAGGACACUGUAAAAGGUGGCCAAGGUAAAUGCAGAUGAACCGCUUCUAAUAGUCCAUUGACUUGGACAAUACUUUUAUGAUCUGAUCUCAAAUCAGGUAGGACUACCCGCUGAACUUAAGC